CUAGAUAUAGUUCAGUUUGGUAGAACGCUGCAUUUGGGAUGCAGAGGCCGGGGGUUCAAAUCCCUCUAUCUAGAC
rnacentral:tRNA from 2 species